AGAAUAUUAAGUAAAAAGGGAAACUUCUAACUUCCUGUGAAGCGGUUAAACUCCGUUUAUAUUCUA
rnacentral:tRNA from 1 species